UACGUAGGGAGCAAGCGUUGUCCGGAAUCAUUGGGCGUAAAGCGCGCGUAGGCGGCCCUGUAAGUCCGUUGUGAAAGUCAAAGGCUCAACCUUUGAAAGCCGAUGGAUACUGCAGGGCUAGAGUCCGGAAGAGGCGAGUGGAAUUCCCGGCGUAGCAGUGAAAUGCGUAGAGAUCGGGAGGAACAUCAGUUGCGAAGGCGGCUCUCUGGACCAGCACUGACACUGAGGCACGAAAGCGUGGGGAGCAAACAGG
rnacentral:rRNA from 1 species